GCCAAAGGGGAGAAGGGUCAGAGGCAUGGACAUCAAUUACAGAAGGCUCCAGAGAGGAGCAGGGAGCCAGCUGUGUUCUGUCAGCGGAGCGGUCAAACCCAAUUGCACCUUCUGCUCUGUAUAGGAGAAAUGAGAAUUCAAAUGUUAGGGAGACGCCAUGCUUCCUUCCUCAUCAUAAUAAGGAGUUGUGGGGUUUCUGCCCCUUGGGUGAUAAUGCACAUAGGCAUAUCUUCAUACCCACUUUACAUGGACAGACACAUCAAGACAUGUAAGCAAUAACACAAAUGUGUCAGCAGCUGUUCAUAAGCUUCUUAGACACGUGUAAACACCCUCCAAAUGUGGUCAUACCUACCAGGAAUAUUGGUACAAAUGCAGCCCUAUAAAUGCAACUUCCCAUGGACACACACACUUGAUGGGCCUGGGAAUGAAUGGUAGCCAUCCCAUCAUCUUGAUAUUGUCCCAGGGUUGUCAUAGGAGGAGGGAAAGGAAGACUAUAUUGGAUAUAUACAUAGAAUAUGAGUAAUCAUGCUUCAGUUAUGGUGGGGAAAAGUCACUACAGAAGAUAGGCAGUCCCUCCACCCACCAACACAGAGAUGGAUUAAAAAGUGGUUAAACUGAAUGUGACAGUACACACCUGUGAUCCCAGCACUGUGGAGGGAGAAGUAGGAGGAUCAGGAGUUCAAGGUUCUCUUGGCCACUCAGUGAGUUCAAAGCCAAUUUGGGCUACAGGAGAGCCUUUCUCAGAAAAACGAACAACAAACCAAAAGGAAAGAAAGGGGCUAACAUGGGAGAUGAAGUUUGCUUUGAUAUUCCAAUGGUCCCUCUCUUGUCCCCAAACAAUGAAGAGAAAGAUGACUAGCAAGAGAGCCACAGUGACCUCUCUGAUUCUCUUGGGGGUCUCCCAGUCCAGGGCUUCCCAAUGACCCCACAGGGUGGUGUGGAUGCUCCUCAGGUUAUGUCGGAACCCUCCCAGGAGGAAUGGAGACACUGUCAAGUAGAUGCUUGGACCUUAUCAGAAAAUGCGAACAAGGGGCUUCACGAAAUGUGGAUGUCCCCGGGAAUCUCACACUGGGAAGGGAAAGACUGGGAUCCUAGUGCCAGCCAGAGGAGGAGGAGCUGGUCUUCCAGGAACGGAUUUCCCACAGUUCUGACAAUGUCAGAGAGACUGGAGCUGAGACUAUGAUGGAUGGCGACACAUUUUCACCAGGCCUGCUUAGCUAGAAAACUUCUGACCCUCUGUUUAAACUUAAAUACCAUGUUAAGAUUCCAAGGAGGGACUUUAGGGGAAUGAUCACACCUCUUAAGGACGGACUUUAGGGGAAUGCCCACAGCUCUUUGUCCCUACUCAUAAUGUGACUGCACUGAACGAAUCUUUCUCGGCUUUUCACUUUGGCUUGUUCAUUUAAUUGGUGUAUUGAGGGUGGGUGGUGGGUCCUGGCUGGUUAGGGCUGCCAAAGCCCAGAUUCUGACUCCAAUCAUUUUGUGUGAUUCUUCAGGAGUGUGAUAGUUAUUAUUGAUCGUCAGCUUGGCAGGAUCCAAGGAGAUAGGCGGCGUCUGGAAACGUCUAUGAGGGAGUUUCUAGACUGGGUUAAUUAAAGUGAGAAGACUCAUCCUGAAUGUGGCUGGCACCAUCCCAUGGGCUGGGGUCCUAGACGUAAUGGAUUGGAAAAAGCGAGCUGAGCACCAGCCUUCAUCUGUUUCCUGACUGUGGAUGAGAUGUGAGCAGCUGCUUCACGUUCCUGCCUCUGUGCCUUUCCUUUCAUGAUGGACUUGCUGUGCCAGCCCAAGCAAAGCUUCCUUAAGCUGCCUUGGCCACAAGAAGAAGAAUAAGUAACAAAGAGAUGAUGUAGAGGUCAGGAGAGUGGAUUCUGGGCAAAGUACAUGGAGUCCUGUCUUCUCUCACUGUGUGCACAACUUUGGACAAGCCCAUCAGUCUCUUUGUAUCUUCAUAACACACUGUAAGGAUGUGGCUUAUCUGGAGGGCAUUCUCCGGAAGUGAAAAGCAAGCAGAAGCAUGCUAUUUUUGCAAAGGUCUGGGAAAGAGAGCUUUGAGGUUCUGGCUCUGAAUUGCAGGGGGAACAAUGUCCAUCUUGCCUCAUUUCUGACCUGAGGUCAGUCUACAAAGAGAUGCCCAGAGUGAGGUGAUGGGCUCUGGCAAAACUCAACAGUUUCACUGAUGAAGCAACUGCAUCCAAGAUGUGUGUCUCCAUGGACCAGUCACAGCACCUCAUCAGCUACAAGUCACUCCUCUGGCAAGAGCUGGUGUGACUAAUUUUAACCACCCCAGCUGCUGGUCACCGUUGCAGCUCUCUAGUGUUAUGUGUGGAAUCCAGAGCUUUGCACGUGAGAGGCAGAUGAUCCACUACUGAGCUACUCCCCAGCCUCAACUUCUGGGAAGCAUGCAGAUGUUCUCAAGGGAUUCUCCCAGCUUCAAAUUCUGCCUCAGAAGGUGUCUUCUCCAAGAAGCCUCUCCUGGCUUCUCCACCAGCUCAGUCCCUACAAAUGCCAAGACUAUACCGGUGCAUUUGGUAGAUGUUACAUUUACUUAAGCUCCAGGCUGUGGGGAGAGUUUCUCCUCUUUUAUUAAGUCUAUAUGCUGUGGUAUGUUAGGGUAUAAUAAAAGACAAUCCCCCAAAUCCUUAAAUCUUACCUUAAGAAUCAGUAAAUAUUUUAAAACAUUGUCUUUUAAGUGUAAUUAUCUCAUUUCUCUAUUCCCUUUCCACCCGCCAACUCUUCCCAUAUAUCCCACCCUCUGCUCUCUUUCAAAUUCAU